GCUCGUAGGCGGUCUGUCGCGUCGGAUGUGAAAUCCCAGGGCUCAACCCUGGGCCUGCAUUCGAUACGGGCAGACUAGAGUAUGGCAGGGGAGACUGGAAUUCCUGGUGUAGCGGUGAAAUGCGCAGAUAUCAGGAGGAACACCGGUGGCGAAGGCGGGUCUCUGGGCCAAAACUGACGCUGAGGAGCGAAAGCGUGGGGAGCGAACAGGAUUAGAUACCCUGGUAGUCCACGCCGUAAACGUUGGGCGCUAGGUGUAGGGGACCUUCCACGUCCUCUGUGCCGCAGCUAACGCAUUAAGCGCCCCGCCUGGGGAGUACGGCCGCAAGGCUAAAACUCAAAGGAAUUGACGGGGGCCCGCACAAGCGGCGGAGCAUGUGGCUUAAUUCGAUACAACGCGAAGAACCUUACCUGGGUUUGACAUGUACGGAAAUCCGGCAGAGACGUCGGGUCCGCAAGGGUCGUACACAGGUGGUGCAUGGUUGUCGUCAGCUCGUGUCGUGAGAUGUUGGGUUAAGUCCCGCAACGAGCGCAACCCUUGUCCUUAGUU
rnacentral:rRNA from 1 species